UACGUAGGUGGCAAGCGUUGUCCGGAUUUACUGGGCGUAAAGAGCGCGCAGGCGGUCGUUCAAGUCGCGUGUGAAAGCCCCGGCUCAACUGGGAGGGUCACGCGAUACUGAUCGACUCGAAGGCAGGAGAGGGUAGUGGAAUUCCCGGUGUAGCAGUGAAAUGCGUAGAGAUCGGGAGGAACAUCUGUGGCGAAGGCGACUGCCUGGACCAGCACUGACACUGAGGCACGAAAGCGUGGGGAGCAAACAGG
rnacentral:rRNA from 1 species